rfam:Ictidomys tridecemlineatus contig019173, whole genome shotgun sequence.
GGGGUUGUGGCUCAGUGGUAGAGCGCUUGCUUGGCAUGUGUGAGGCACUGGGUUCAAUUCUCAGCACCGCAA